UACGAAGGGGGCUAGCGUUGCUCGGAAUCACUGGGCGUAAAGCGCACGUAGGCGGAUCUUUAAGUCAGGGGUGAAAUCCUGGAGCUCAACUCCAGAACUGCCUUUGAUACUGGGGAUCUCGAGUCCGGGAGAGGUGAGUGGAACCCCGAGUGUAGAGGUGAAAUUCGUAGAUAUUCGGAAGAACACCAGUGGCGAAGGCGGCUCACUGGCCCGGUACUGACGCUGAGGUGCGAAAGCGUGGGGAGCAAACAGG
rnacentral:rRNA from 1 species